rnacentral:rRNA from 1 species
UACGUAGGUGGCAAGCGUUAUCCGGAUUUAUUGGGCGUAAAGGGAACGCAGGCGGUCUUUUAAGUCUGAUGUGAAAGCCUUCGGCUUAACCGGAGUAGUGCAUUGGAAACUGGGAGACUUGAGUGCAGAAGAGGAGAGUGGAACUCCAUGUGUAGCGGUGCAAUGCGUAGAUAUAUGGAAGAACACCAGUGGCGAAAGCGGCUCUCUGGUCUGUAACUGACGCUGAGGUUCGAAAGCGUAGGUAGCAAACAGG